rnacentral:rRNA from 1 species
AUGUCGAGCUCCACUAUAGCCUCCCGCCCCUCGUGGACCCAGUAUGGUCCACUUUCCAUGGAGCGAUGUCCUGACUGCCCACGCAGCGUGCCGCUGAUACGGUUGACUUCGAAGGAGGUCAAGAAUGGCAACUAUGGGCGCGAGUUCGUGAAAUGCGAGAGCAAGCCAGAGGGGCAGAUCAUGAAGAAAUGCACACAUUUUGAAUGGCUGGAUGACUAA